AGUGCCUUGAAGUGCCGGCUUCACCAGAUGUUCUGGCAUCACCAAUCCUUCCCCUAAUUCUGAGUGCCACAUCUGACCCACUGCCAACGGUCACAAGGUCGCCAGCGGCCAAAAAUCACCUUGGGCUUCAGGAAACCUUGGUGGAGAGUCCAGCAUAGGCCCAGAAUCUUGCAAUCCACAUCCAGUUCCAGAAACUGAAUUCCAAGAAGCUACACUGAGGAUAAUUCAGCUCUGAUAUUGUGAUUACUGUGAUGUUCUUUCAUUCAUACAGUAAGUAUCUGCCCAAUACGUAACUACCGAGAUCUAUUGCUUCCUACAUAAUUAGACAAGCUCCUCACACAUAUGGGCCCAUGCCGUGCACAUAGCAGGCACUCAACAAGUGUUUGCUUAACUACAGAAGAAUAAUAUAAUUGCCUUCCUUCUUAACUGUUUUACCUUUUUCUAUACUUGAUAUAUUUGAAAAACAACAUGCUUGCAAAACUAAAAUCUAACAUGCAUUACUAACUUUAUCAAAAGAUCCCUCAGUAUUUUUCAAAAAGGAAAAAAAUAAUAAAAACCAAUCCCCCAAAUACUAAAACUUAGAACUGCUUUACACUUAAAUAGCAAUUUACAUCAUAUUAACAUAUUCAUAAUCUUCAUUGGUUAAAACAGGUCAAAGGUUUAUUACUGGCUUCUCAUACCAGAUAAGUCUCACAGUUCCCAAUAAGGCAACAGAAUCCUCAUCCAACAUAUAUUGACUUGUGGAACCCAACGGCCUGUUUUGGUUUCAUUUCAGCGCAAGUAGAAGGCAAAAUAAAGAGUCUCACAGUAAAAUGUUCAUAGUAGAUAAUAUGUCCUUGAAGGUUGUGCCGUUGUGCUCUUAUUCCACUGAAGAAAUGAUUCACAUCCCAAUUAUAGAUAUGGUCUCCCAAUCAGAGGAGUCUUUUAGAAGACAUUCAUUCAUUCAUUGAACAAAUAUGUGUUGUGUACUUGUCCCAUGCUAGGUAACAGGAAAAUAAUAGUGAUUGAUAAGACAUAGUCCCUGUCCUCAAAGAGCUAACAGUCUAGCAAGGCAGGAACUUUGAGAAAAGACCAAUGUGUUCAAAGGAAAACUCACAACCUGGGUCUCCCUUCUCAGAUGGCACAUUCAAGAAACUGUUGCUUAUGCCCCUGGGAGCCAGAGCCUUACUUAAGUCUUACCAAGUCAAAUAUCUAUCAGCCUCAGAUGAUUUGAGCCUGGUAAAGUCUUAGCAAUAGAUUUGCUGCCUCAUGUUCCCAUGAAAACCUAAUAAGAGAGAGCCCUUUCAACUCAGGCAUACGGGGGGUUUAAGGAUAACAUGUUUAGUGACCAUGUGGACAUUCAGCACAGGUGAGCUUCUCAAGUGAGAGCCAUGUGUCCCCAAAAGAAAGGAGGGUUUAUCCAUAAGACUUUGCUCUCCCUUUCAACACUGUGGUGGGAAGUACUCUGUUACCACCCCAAGUUGGCAUAGCUCGAUUACUUUAAGUUCUCCAAGUCACGAACAGCACAUAGAAAAUGCAGCAAACUCAAGUCAAGACAAUAGAGAGAUAUGCUGAGAACUUAAUACUCAAGCCUUAAUCAGGCACCAGAUGCCAAGAAACCUUCACUCUCAACAAACAACACAAUCCACUAAUUAUCUGUAGAAUUGUUGUAGUUGGUACUCUUCACAUUCACUUACUCCUUAGCAAAGAUUGCUCUUGAAUGGAAAGGUUGCAGAAAGAGCCAAAGCCAAUUUGGAAGAAGUGAGAAACUUACAGGUUUGAGGAAUGGUGAAGUCAGCGAAGGAUCUAGCCUCCUUAGAUGAUGAACAGGCAAAGUCAGAGAAGGAACCACAGUGAGAGAAUUGGCAGAUGCCCCUAAUAAAAUCACACAACUCAGACACACACACAGACACACAAAUAUUCAUGCGUUAUACCCAUUCAAGUAACUGGAUAUUUAAUUCAUUCUAUGCAAUGAACAGUCAAAUGCUGGGAAGGCCCCAUAGUUCUUUGGCCUUCUUGUAAAGCAACAUAUGUCUUUUCUGCAGGAAUGUCUGAGUUGCACAGUCAAGAUCGUUGCUGUUCAUUGUUCUUUUUCUCAGCUCUUUCAGUAACUGUUACUUGACAACACUAAGUUAAACCUUUACAGAAGUGACCAAGCCAGGCAGAAAUAAAAAUGGAUUUGGUU
rnacentral:lncRNA from 10 species